CAGCAGUGGGGAAUAUUGCACAAUGGGCGGAAGCCUGAUGCAGCGACGCCGCGUGGGGGAUGACGGCCUUCGGGUUGUAAACUCCUUUCACCAUCGACGAAGGUUUUCUGACGGUAGAUGGAGAAGAAGCACCGGCUAACUACGUGCCAGCAGCCGCGGUAAUACGUAGGGUGCGAGCGUUGUCCGGAAUUACUGGGCGUAAAGAGCUCGUAGGUGGUUUGUCGCGUCGUCUGUGAAAUUCCGGGGCUUAACUCCGGGCGUGCAGGCGAUAUGGGCAUAACUUGAGUACUGUAGGGGAGACUGGAAUUCCUGGUGUAGCGGUGAAAUGCGCAGAUAUCAGGAGGAACACCAGUGGCGAAGGCGGGUCUCUGGGCAGUAACUGAUGCUGAGGAGCGAAAGCAUGGGUAGCGAACAGGAUUAGAUACCCUGGUAGUCCAUGCCGUAAACGGUGGGCGCUAGGUGUAGGGGUCUUCCACGACUUCUGUGCCGUAGCUAACGCA
rnacentral:rRNA from 1 species